rnacentral:rRNA from 1 species
CCUACGGGUGGCUGCAGUGGGGAAUAUUGCACAAUGGGCGCAAGCCUGAUGCAGCCAUGCCGCGUGUGUGAAGAAGGCCUUCGGGUUGUAAAGCACUUUCAGCGGGGAGGAAGGCGGUGAGGUUAAUAACCUCAUCGAUUGACGUUACCCGCAGAAGAAGCACCGGCUAACUCCGUGCCAGCAGCCGCGGUAAUACGGAGGGUGCAAGCGUUAAUCGGAAUUACUGGGCGUAAAGCGCACGCAGGCGGUCUGUCAAGUCGGAUGUGAGAUCCCCGGGCUCAACCUGGGAACUGCAUUCGAAACUGGCAGGCUAGAGUCUUGUAGAGGGGGGUAGAAUUCCAGGUGUAGCGGUGAAAUGCGUAGAGAUCUGGAGGAAUACCGGUGGCGAAGGCGGCCCCCUGGACAAAGACUGACGCUCAGGUGCGAAAGCGUGGGGAGCAAACAGGAUUAGAUACCCCAGUAGUC